rnacentral:rRNA from 1 species
UACGGAGGGGGCUAGCGUUGUUCGGAAUUACUGGGCGUAAAGCGCACGUAGGCGGAUGCUCAAGUCGGGGGUGAAAUCCCGGGGCUCAACCCCGGAACUGCCUCCGAUACUGGGCGUCUGGAGGAUGGGAGAGGCGAGUGGAAUUCCGAGUGUAGAGGUGAAAUUCGUAGAUAUUCGGAGGAACACCAGUGGCGAAGGCGGCUCGCUGGCCCAUUUCUGACGCUGAGGUGCGAAAGCGUGGGGAGCAAACAGGAUUAGAUACCCCAGUAGUCC